rnacentral:siRNA from 1 species
GUAUGCCUGGUAUGACUGCUUAU